ensembl:processed_transcript Gm21986 predicted gene 21986
GAGGUUUUCACACCAGACACUGCAGCAGACACCCAUGAUGGGUACCAUGACUCCGUUGAGUGCCCAGGGUGUCCAGGCAGGCGUCCGUUCAACUUCCAUCCUGCCUGAGCAGCAGCAACAACAACAGCAGCAGCAGCAACAGCAGCAGCAGCAACAGCAGCAGCAGCAACAACAACAGCAGCAGCAGCAGCAGCAACAACAACAGCAGUACCAUAUCCGACAGCAACAGCAGCAGCAGCAGAUGCUACGGCAACAGCAGCAACAACAGCAACAGCAGCAGCAGCAGCAACAGCAGCAGCAGCAACAACAACAGCAACAGCAGCAGCAGCAGCCACACCAGCAGCAGCAGCAGGCAGCUCCUCCCCAACCCCAGCCCCAGUCCCAGCCCCAGUUCCAGCGCCAGGGCCUGCAGCAGACCCAGCAGCAGCAACAGACAGCAGCUUUGGUCCGGCAACUUCAACAACAGCUCUCUAAUACCCAGCCACAGCCCAGCACCAACAUAUUUGGACGCUACUGAGUCACCUGGAGGAACUGCUUGUACACUGGAUGUGGCCCAGCCUUUCUGCUUAAUUCCCAGUCCCCUUCCUGGGCGAGCUCCAGUAGUGGUUGGGGUCCUUCCCUCAGGCUCCAUUUUUAAUGAAUUUUUAGUAUUUUUGUUAAUGUGAAACAUUGAACUGUUGGGUUUUGUAUAUUAUUUAUAUAGAGAUCCUAGAGCUGCUGCACUCAAUACACAGAGCUUCUUUGCAAAAGAAGUGUGUGAAUGUACACAUGGAAGGGUCUCCUGUGAGAGUACCGGGGAAAGGAUGAAUCACUAAGAAGCUUCAUGCCUUCUGCAUCGUCUCCCUCCUCACCCUCUGCCUUUGCAUUUCUGAGUUCUCGCUGCACUGCUACACUUGGUUCCCUGCUCGAAAGCAACCCGAAUGAGCUCCAAGCCCUUGGUCCUCAACUCAACAGUGCAGCUUCAUGACAGCCUUUUUCCCACUGGGGAUGUGCCACUAGAGGGGGGGCUCAUUGGGCUGGAGAGAAACCAGUGCAACCCCAUCAUCCUUCCACAACACUCCAGAUGAGAGUAGGGUAGAGAUGCCAGACAAUGCCUGUCAUUGUGUCGUCUCAUGUAGUCCCCACAAAUACACCAAGCUAACUAGAGAACUUCUCUGAAGGGAACAUUUCUAAAUAGUUGCUGUCUGUGCGCAUGAGAUGGCAUGUGAUGUGACAGAAGUUCCGACUAGUUCUAGCAGGAAGAGAGACAAGCAGGAUGCCACACCUGUUUCUCCCUGACCUGCUGGAACCCCAUGUUUUCAUACAACCCACCUUGGCAGUUUCCCAGAGUGACUGUUUCUCACUCUCAACCCAAAAUUUCCUUCAGAGUCACUUUUGAAACAAGGGCUGGGCUGGUCUCACCAUCUCUGUGGUCUGUUUGCCUUAGGCCCUCAAUCCAAGGCUGCGCUGGGGGCCCCAGCUACUUUAUGACAAUUUCUGCUCAGCUAGGACUAGAAGAAGUCUACAUUAGUCUGGUGGUUGGGUGAUAACUGGAGGGUACCCCCAGGUUGGGUGAUAACUGGAGUAUACCCCCAAUCUAUAAUUACACCCUAUCACUGGGAGGUGUCAGUUAUGCCCUUAAAAGCUUGAGUGCCAACUGAUGAAUAUCCAAGUCAUUUUUAAAAAUAUCUCUGAGCCCACAAAGCCCAUCUACAUACAGGACUUCCUCAAGUCGUGAGAAAGGAACGGGGCUCCCAGGCCUGUCUGGCCCUAAGGGAGCCCUCUUUCGAAGUGGUGGUGCUCGGAAGACCUGCUCUCUGCAUUGCUGGGCACCUGUAGGUGUCCCUCGAGAGCUCAGUUUUGAGGUUCAAGUCAGUGUGGCCAUGAAGGGGCUGCCUAUUGGGCUGAUGCUGUGACCCCGGAGUCUUCCUCUCCUGCCAGUCCCCCUGCCCGGAACAUGUGGCUGCAGCCCUCGCUGUCCCUGAGCCCCACGCCCACAGUUGGCCGGAGCCUGUGCCUCACCCUGGGCUUCCUCAGUUUGGUGCUGAGGGCCAGUACCCAGGCCCCGGCACCCACAGUCAAUACUCACUUUGGGAAGCUAAGGGGUGCCAGAGUACCAUUGCCCAGUGAAAUCCUGGGUCCUGUGGACCAAUACCUGGGGGUACCCUACGCAGCUCCCCCGAUCGGCGAGAAACGUUUCCUGCCCCCUGAACCACCCCCAUCCUGGUCGGGCAUCCGGAACGCCACACACUUUCCCCCAGUGUGCCCCCAGAACAUCCACACAGCUGUGCCCGAAGUCAUGCUGCCAGUCUGGUUCACUGCCAACUUGGAUAUCGUCGCCACUUAUAUCCAGGAGCCCAACGAAGAUUGCCUCUAUCUGAAUGUGUAUGUGCCCACGGAAGAUGUAAAGCGGAUUUCCAAGGAAUGCGCCCGAAAGCCCAACAAGAAAAUUUGUAGGAAAGGAGGAUCCGGCGCUAAGAAACAGGGCGAGGACUUAGCGGAUAAUGACGGGGAUGAAGAUGAAGACAUCCGAGACAGUGGUGCUAAACCUGUCAUGGUCUACAUCCACGGAGGCUCUUACAUGGAAGGAACAGGCAACAUGAUUGAUGGCAGUGUUCUUGCAAGUUACGGCAACGUCAUCGUCAUCACCCUCAACUAUCGGGUCGGGGUGCUAGGUUUCCUGAGCACUGGAGAUCAGGCUGCCAAGGGCAACUAUGGGCUCCUUGAUCAAAUCCAGGCCCUUCGCUGGGUGAGUGAGAAUAUUGCCUUCUUUGGAGGAGAUCCCCGUAGAAUUACUGUCUUUGGCUCUGGCAUCGGUGCAUCCUGUGUCAGUCUCCUUACACUGUCUCAUCAUUCUGAGGGGCUUUUCCAGAGGGCCAUCAUCCAAAGUGGCUCUGCUCUAUCUAGCUGGGCUGUGAACUACCAACCAGUGAAGUAUACCAGCUUGCUGGCAGACAAAGUGGGCUGUAACGUCCUGGACACUGUGGAUAUGGUGGAUUGUCUUCGACAAAAGAGUGCCAAGGAGCUGGUAGAACAGGACAUUCAGCCAGCCCGCUACCAUGUGGCUUUUGGCCCUGUGAUUGAUGGUGAUGUCAUUCCUGAUGACCCUGAGAUCCUUAUGGAGCAGGGAGAGUUCCUCAACUAUGAUAUCAUGCUAGGCGUCAACCAGGGUGAGGGUCUCAAGUUUGUGGAAGGGGUGGUGGACCCCGAGGAUGGUGUCUCGGGCACUGACUUUGACUACUCUGUCUCCAAUUUUGUGGACAAUCUGUAUGGCUAUCCUGAGGGUAAGGACACCCUGCGGGAGACUAUCAAGUUCAUGUAUACGGACUGGGCAGACCGAGACAACCCUGAGACCCGCCGUAAAACACUGGUGGCACUCUUCACUGACCACCAGUGGGUGGAGCCUUCAGUGGUGACAGCCGAUCUGCACGCCCGCUAUGGCUCACCUACCUACUUCUACGCCUUCUACCAUCACUGCCAGAGCCUCAUGAAGCCCGCAUGGUCAGAUGCAGCACACGGGGAUGAAGUGCCCUAUGUUUUUGGUGUCCCUAUGGUAGGUCCCACUGACCUUUUCCCCUGCAACUUCUCCAAGAAUGAUGUUAUGCUCAGUGCUGUCGUCAUGACCUAUUGGACCAACUUUGCCAAGACCGGGGAUCCCAACAAGCCGGUACCCCAGGAUACCAAGUUCAUUCACACCAAGGCCAACCGCUUUGAGGAAGUGGCCUGGUCCAAAUACAAUCCCCGAGACCAGCUCUACCUUCACAUCGGGCUGAAACCAAGGGUUCGUGAUCAUUACCGGGCCACAAAGGUAGCCUUUUGGAAACACCUGGUGCCCCACCUGUACAACCUGCAUGACAUGUUCCACUAUACAUCCACGACCACCAAAGUGCCGCCCCCGGACACCACCCACAGCUCCCACAUCACCCGUAGGCCCAACGGCAAGACCUGGAGCACCAAGCGGCCGGCGAUUUCACCUGCCUACAGCAAUGAGAAUGCCCCUGGGUCCUGGAAUGGGGACCAGGAUGCGGGGCCACUCCUGGUUGAGAACCCUCGAGACUACUCCACUGAAUUAAGUGUCACUAUCGCUGUGGGGGCCUCCCUCCUGUUUCUCAAUGUGUUGGCCUUUGCUGCCCUCUAUUACCGUAAGGACAAACGGCGCCAGGAGCCCCUGAGGCAGCCUAGCCCCCAAAGGGGAACUGGUGCCCCUGAAUUGGGAACUGCUCCGGAGGAGGAGCUGGCAGCAUUACAGUUGGGUCCCACUCACCAUGAAUGUGAGGCCGGUCCCCCACAUGACACACUUCGCCUCACAGCACUGCCCGACUAUACCCUGACCCUGCGGCGCUCCCCUGAUGACAUCCCACUCAUGACUCCCAACACCAUCACUAUGAUUCCUAAUUCCCUGGUUGGGUUGCAGACCUUGCACCCCUAUAACACCUUUGCCGCAGGGUUCAACAGUACUGGGCUGCCCCACUCACACUCCACUACCCGUGUAUAGCUCUAUCCCGGAGCACAGCCCAUCUCCCAGCUCCCUCCCUCCCAGAUCCACAAACACACAUGCACACACAUACACAUAUAUGUACACGCACGCACCCACACCCUACAGCAGACCCAUCUGCAUAAACACAGACAGAUGUGGACAUGCACCCGCAUGUACAAAAACACAAAUCCAGACGUGAACCUGAAUAGGCCCUUCAAAUGGGGACACAUACGAGUCCUUGGUACCAAGGGCCCAUGGAACAGCAGCUGGAACCAGCUCCUUGAGCCCGACCACAGACACUCCUGGGGCCCUGGAAGCCACAGCCGGACACCCCCUUGGUGCUUGCCUUCUCGGAACUGCACCUCUACCAACUGCAGACUCGGGAGCUUUAAAGAGCAGGAUAGCUCUUCCUCCCCCAGACUUGGUCUUUUCUCUGGGUCUUGUUUUUGUUGAUUUUUUUCAUUUUUAAAUUGGAACCAAUGCUUUUCCAACCCAUUGAGUGCUAAGCAGCUCUGGAAGGGAGGGCUCCAAGAUCAGGACGCUCUGGCUCUGGGACUCCCAAUGUUCAUACAAUCAGACCAAGGAGAAGGACCUUCCAAGACAGUGACAGAUGGGCACAAGACUAUGGGGUAAGAGGAGGAAGAGGCUAGCAAUGGAUGGGGCUUGAGGGCCAGCAAGGACAGAGCACCAACUGGCUCUGGGCCUCCCAGAGAGGACUACAGAGCCUACAGGGUGACCUGCUUCUGCAAAGGCCAGCAGCAGCAGCCUGCCUGGAGAAGCCUAGGUUUGAUGAACUAAGUACUGUGGAGGCCCUGACCUUAUUGGGCCCCUGGGUAUAUAAUCUGGGUUCUGCCUCUGCCCUUGGGGACAUGAUAUCAGAAAUUUGCCCCAUUUUCUUUACAGUCUCUUUGUGUCUGUCAUUUCUCUUUCAAAACAACAGUGUUUUGGUUUUUUUUUUUUUUUCGGUUGUUGUUGGCUUUUUUUUUUUUUUUUUUUUUAAGAAAAGUUCUUAAAACACUAACGGAAACCCAUGGAGUUUGUCCUUUGUAAAAAUUUUAAACACAGUGUCUUGAUAUAAAAAUAAAAAAUCCAGUUAGCACUCCC